GGUAUGUCUGUCCAGAAGGCAGAGCUCGUAGCCCUCAGGAGAGCCCUGCAUCUUGGAGCUAAGAAAAAGAGACAGCACUCCCAUGUGCAAGACAGGAACCCAUGUCUCCAGGAUGACCCCAGAACCAAGAAUCUUCAGUCUGCAGAACUCAAACAAUAGACAUGUUGCCACUGGAGCCCUUUACCAAGCAAGAAGUUCUUCAAUAAGAAAAAUCCAGCUUCCAGCUGCCCAAAUAGCUUGAUUCCAAUCAGCUUCUGACCGUCAACACUAGCCAAUAAGCUUGUGCCAAGUUUGAAAUUCCCCUAACUUCUUACAUUUUGCCCUGAACACUGGACAGGGAGAUAGAUUUGAGCCCUGCCUCCUGUCGGUUAACUCACAAUAAAAUGCUUUAUUUUCUCAAAA